AAGAACGCUGGCGGCAUGCUUAACACAUGCAAGUCGAACGAAUAAUUCUCUAGCUUGCUAGAGAGCCUAUUAGUGGCAAACGGGUGAGUAACACGUAGGAAUUUACCUUAUAGUACGGAAUAACAAUUGGAAACGAUUGCUAAUACCGUAUACGCUCUUCGGAGGAAAGAUUUAUCGCUAUAAGAUAAGCCUGCGGUAGAUUAGGUAGUUGGUAGGGUAAUGGCCUACCAAGCCGACGAUCUAUAGCUGGUCUGAGAGGACGAUCAGCCACACUGGAACUUAGACACGGUCCAGACUCCUACGGGAGGCAGCAGUGGGGAAUAUUGGACAAUGGGCGAAAGCCUGAUCCAGCAAUGCCGCGUGAAUGAUGAAGGCCUUAGGGUUGUAAAGUUCUUUUAGUGGGGAAGAAAAUGACGGUACCCACAGAAAAAGCUCCGGCUAACUUCGU
rnacentral:rRNA from 1 species